rnacentral:rRNA from 1 species
UGCGUAGGUGGCAGGGUAAGUUUGAUGUGAAAUCUCCGGGCUUAACCCGGAAACUGCAUUGAAUACUAUUCUGCUCGAGGGUUGGAGGGGGGACGUGGAAUACUUGGUGUAGCAGUGAAAUGCGUAGAUAUCAAGUGGAACACCAGUGGCGAAGGCGAGUCCCUGGACAACUCCUGACACUGAGGCACGAAAGCUAGGGGAGCAAACA